rnacentral:lncRNA from 1 species
CUCUUUUAUAUAUAUUUAAAACACACAGUAAGAACAUAAGAACAUCUCAAAUCAUUUAAAAGGUUAGAGGGGUCAUCAACCAAAAUCUUUGGAAAUUUCAUAAAAUUUAAAUAUCUGCAAACAAUACAACCAAUAAGAAGGGGGGGGGAGGAUUCCCAACAUUUGGCUAUGGAGGGCACUUUACAUGUGAACCAAAUGGUAUUACAGCAUUUUCUUUCGGAUAACUAGUUACUACACCCCAUAAGAAAGAAUACAAGAGCAAUAUCGGAGACAUCCCCCGAUCCCACACACCCAUUACAUUGCAUUAAGAGAUCCUCUGCUGUGGGCCACAUCACAUCUCUACAGCGCAAUGCCAAGCAGCCUUCAAAUUCUGUAAAGUAGGCUGGCGUCCAUUCUACAAAAAUAUUAACUUACAGUACAUAACACUGCAUAAUUUUAAUCUGUACAGUUUUUCCCCUCCCAUUGGUGACACACAUCAGUUUGUACAAGCUAGAAAAAAAAAUGACACUCAUCUGGUUGUUUACAUCUGGGAUAAUAGUCAACAGAGUCAACCAGAAUUUGGUGUGAUGGGGAUAGUCUACGAGAGUAUCAAUACAGUAUAAUAGAACCGCAAAUAACAAUAGGCAGCUCUUAACAAGUGAUACAAAAUAAAACUGUCCUGGAGUCUUAUUUUUAUUUAUUUAUUUUGACUGAAAAGGUAUAGCUGAGAAUGUUCUGCCAAAGAGCCGACCAGCUGAUCCAGAAGGUAAAAGUUGCUGAGAGUCGGCAACCUGCUGCACAGCACAACCCAAAACACCGGUGCAGUUCAGGGCUCAUCAAGUGCUUCAGUGUAACUCGUGCAUUAAUCACAUUCCUUCAAUUAGUUAAUCCUCUAGUCAGCUUUCUUUGUGUUUUGCAUGCAUCCUGUUCCAUUUUCAUUAAGGGUAUCUCCUCUUGAGGAACCGUGAGCUUUGCUUUUCAAUUUGUUUUUGUGAUUCUUUUUGAAUGUUUUGUUUCACUGUCAAUACCGCCAACACUCAGAACAAAUGAACAGUAGCUGUGGUGUUACAGAACAGGGCUGUGUGCACAAUGCGGAAUGAAAUGAAACGAGUGUCAGAGACAGUUUAUAAAAAUGGCACAUUUAUUGCUACAGAACGGUCAUGUACAUGACUUCAUCGAAUAACUACAGAUGGGAACAGGUAAUGGUCUAGACCAAGCUGGGUUGUUUGCCUCUUGAAGGAAGUCCAGCAUACAACCUGUUUGGACAUUUCUACAAAUCAGAAACACACCAAAAACAUGAAAAAUCGAGGCACUCAGCCACACAUUGAAAACAAGGUGUAACUGUUUAUCUUUUUUUUGAAAUGUUUUCCCUUUUUUUUUCUUUUUUUUAACAAUUUUUUUAAAGUUUUUAAUGCUGCAGCUAUGUGUACAGUCGCAAAACAAAAACAAAAACAAAAACAAAAAAAGUUUGCACUGCAACCUACAACUAAAAACGAAAACAAAAACCAACCAAAGAAGCUACCAUACAGUUUCAUCUUGGUAACACAUGGCAAAAUAACAUCUUAUAAAUAGUAAAAUAAAGUAACAAACUUUUACUCAUAAUGAUUCCAAAAAUCUACAAAGAAGAAAUAUUCAGAAUCUGACAAUUUUUUUUGUAAUAUUCAUGGUAUAAAAGGAUUGCUCCUGCGAAAAAUAAGCCAAAUAUAUUUUUUAUUUUUAAAUUUAGUUUUUUUUCCUACUAGGGUGUACUACAGUCUAUUUUAUAGCAAAAAGAGCACUAGACAGACAAAGCUUUAUAACAAAAAGCCAGGCACUGAUACAUGGUAAAUCUCUGCUUUUUUUUUUUUUCUUAUCUUCACUUAAUUGCAUCACAAGUAACAAGAAUGAAAAAGGCCACAGUUCAUAUAUUUCACCAUUACAUAUGUCUAUAAUACUUGAAAUGAGCAUAUGGUAAAACCAGCACUGCACAGAGAUGAGUCACUUUCAAGUCCCAUGAGAAAGAACAUCUCGAAAGAAAACAAACAUAACCAAAGCAAACUCAAGAGGAGGCCUACAGGCCUUGGUGCCCCAUUGUCUUGGAAUUCAUCACAUUCCAUCUUCACCUUUUCAUUUAUUUAUUUAUUUAAAAUGUAUUUCCUUUUUGCUUCCAGUCAGUUGGCAGACUACAUUUUUGUGCUUGUGUAUGCUGAAUCAUUUCAUUCCUGACUUACGUUCCAUUUUGGACACAGAUCAUAUUCUGCCUGUUGGAUGCAAAGAUGAAAAAAAAUCCUCUUACCCCCCAAGUCUCAGUUCUACUCCCUCCCACUUCCCAACCCCUCAUCAAAACAAAGAUCACAAAUAAUAAUAAUAAUAAUAAAAUAAUAAUAAAAAUCAAGAGAUAGGAAAAAAAGUAGAAAAACAAAAGGGAACAAGGAAUCGGAAGACUGAGUCAGAAUGGGUUGUAGGACCAGGUGAACUGACAGUUGUAGAAGCAUUAGUGUUCCUCACAGCUACACAGAAGACAAAUGGUAAGAACUCCUAGAUGGACAGAUCCCUAAUUCUGCAUAUUCAUAAAUUACUCGAAUGUGGAGGUGGAUCAACUGCUCCAAGUUGCUUUCAAAGUCUGAGUCUCUUCAACUGAUUCCUAAAUCUAUGCUUUACCAUCAUCAUAUAUAUCUAGUGUAGUAUGGACCCUUAUGAAAUGUUCAUAUAGUAUUUUAAUCCUGUCUUCUGCUAAGUUUCUUUCAAAAAUCCAGUGCAGGAAUACCAAUAUCUUACCUGGGUUUGAUAACUACAAAAUAACAACAAGAAAAAAACAAACACAUUAAAAAGGCCACAUUCCCUUUCUUCUUCUUCCUUUUUUUUUUCUUUUAAACUGGAGAUACAACCCUCUUACUACAGAGAGGGUCAGAUCAUGUUUCUCCACCAAGCAGAAUGCAGCCAGCAGCUUCUGGUGGCCUUUAGGGAGUCUUUUGCUUAUUUCCAAAAGGAAUUUGACAAUAGCUGUAUUACAUUACCAAGUAAUGAAUACAUCAAAGGUGGUGAACGAGAAACUGCAGCUUUUCCUCUGUUUGACUGAGAACAAAAUAUAAAAGCACCAAUUGGAAAAAAAAUCAAAUGACUAUGUUUCAUUUUUAUUUCCUUUGUUUACAGAUUUGAAAAACUUUAAUUCCACUUUAGUAAGCACCUUUACGAUAACAUGUAUCAAAAGUGCCAUUCUGAAAAUGUACAUCAAUGCAGGGAGUAUUUCCAGUUCCCUAAAGAGUAAACACCAUAUUCUCUUCUAUACACUUAUCCUGAAUGUGAUCAGAGUAUACCUGCUUCCUAUAUAAUAAUAAUGUUCCUAGGGAUACCCGCCUUGGUAGACUAUACAAAAUGAGUGCAGAAUGUAUCACGAAAAGGAAAUCCUUAACAUGGUGAGAGAACAAGUACACAUGGUUUCCAUCAUUUAGGGAGGAGGGGAAGUGUACAUUAUUGUCUUCCAUGCCCUUCUCUAAGCCCCUUUGUUUGCACAUUUCACAGGAAAGCCCCCAAAGAACUUUUCAUGAAAUUUGAUUUCUGCUAUUCUCCUAUGUUUUCAAUCCACCUCCACAUUUUAGGAACUUAUCAACAAAUCAGAGCAUUUAGUUUUAUCGCUACUGAACAUAUUUACAGUUUUCAACACACAGACACACACACACACACACACACACACACACACACACACACACACAUACACAGCUAAUCAAAAUGUUUAUGGGUUUGUAAAAGGUGACCACGUGGUAACUAUCUUAUUUGUUCUUACAUUUUCAGAAAUGAACAUAUAUUUCAGAUUCUUGUAACUCACUAUUCAUUUAAAUGACUUUAAAAAAAACACACAGUUUAGAAAAAAAAACCUGAUACAAUGUAUUAAAACACAUAAUAACAAGAGUCUACAUGUAAAAAUAUAACUUUUACAUACACAGUUUCAAAAUAAUGAUAGGUUUGCCAUUGGUUGCAUAAAAUUUACAAAUGUGUUUCAUCACUAUGUAACUGGUAAAACAGGACAACAGGUGAAGCGUUUAGACCAUUUCCAUGGAUUUAUGGCAUUUACUCAGUGCUGAUAGGUGGAAAAACUACUUCAACAGGGAUUUUUUUUUUCUUAAUACAUGCCAAGAUUGUGUGGCUGUAAAAAUAGAAACCAGUUAGAGACAAAAGGAUGCUGACAAAUGCUUAAGUAGGAGCACUACUUGUUUACUGCACUACACACCAAAGUCAACCAUUAGGAAGAUUUAGGAUGGGAAUUGGUUCAAUUGUGCCCAGAGUCAACGCUAGCUAUCUGAUGAGUUGCUGUGCCAUAGUUUGACGUAUGUUUCUAUCAAAUGUUAAGUAUAAACUUCAUUCAUACUGGCCAGAGAAUACUGUUCUACCCCUCCUCAUGAAAGUGCAACUUAAUGCUUUAGGACUUAUAAGGCUUGUUAUAAUGCUGCAUGAUUAGUUGGCAUUUUUCACACAAAGGAGGAGGCAGGUAAGUCAUCUACUUUUUAGUAAACCCAUUUUUGAAAAAAAAAGAAAGAAAAGAAAGAAAAGAAAAUCAAUCAGCUCGGUCACACUACUUGCAAUUUUCUCAUUUGACGGUUUUUGAACUUGACUCUUUUUUUUUUUUAAGUUUUUGUAUUUUUUCCAAAAAUCUGACCAUGUAUUCAGAAACGCCUCACUGCACACUACUUCGGCUACACAGGUAGGUAACACUUGAAUCGUUUUGUUAAAUCACAGCCACUUUGAUUAUGUUAUGUUUCCGAUGAUAUAAACAUUGGAAGGCACAGUGGUAACAUUGUAGCAUUCUAACCGUGUACCUCUGAAAAUCCCAGGAGAGGGUCGCAAGGGCAGCGCCACAAGCCAGACAAACUCUUUUUGCCUUGCCUGGGCAAUGCUGCAUGUAAUUUCUACACAUGAUGUGAUUUUUUUUUUUAAGUCCUGUGUUCCCAAAAGACUGGAGAAACAACUUUCUACUAUUUAUGAAUGAGAAGCAACAACAGGGUCAGCCUUUCAUCCUGCACUGCCCCUCCGGUAGCAGAGUUGGCACUACAGGUUACGAUAACAAACUGGGGGAAAGGACAAAAAUCAGACAAAAAAAAAAUCCAUAUUUACAGUAAAAUCUUUCUUUUAAAAAAGUUAAUCAGUACUAUUUUUGUACAGGAGAAAAAAGUCUGAAACAAAUGAACAAAAGCUUACCAUAGUCACUAAAUUUUUAAUAUAUAUUUAUAUAUAUAUUUAUAUAUAUAUUUGUCAUAGGUCUAUAACAUCCAUCUGUCCCUCCUACCCUAAGGAAUGGCUAAUGUCAUCAUUUCGUUGCCAUCAGGACGUUUGCUGGUUUUGUUAUGAGGGUAGCCGGGCUUCCCCUAUUCAAUAUCCGGUAAUUAGAAACACUAGCUGACUUGAAUGCCAACAAAAACGUUCAUGUCGUUUUCUUCAGAAGUACACUUUUUCAUUAUUGCAAGUUUACAAUUUUUUUUAAAUUAAAUAUUUUUUUCAGACUUACAAAUUAAUUAUAUUUUUUUUUCCAAAAGAAGUUUAGGCACAAAUGCAUUGCUCCACAGUGUGGAAGGAUUGCCAUUCAGUCUCUGGGCUGUGUCUCAGCCUGUACAUACCGCUUCGCACAUUCAGAAUGAUAUGUUAAAGAAGUCGUCCCUCAAGUUGCACAUUUUUUCUUUCUUUCUUUCCUUUUUGUUUUUCUGCUUUUUGAUAAUUGGGAAUGCUGAAACCUCUUGCGUCUGCGAUUCAUAACUACUCAGACUUGUCUUAUAUUACAAAAAGGGGGUUAAGGAGCAGUGUUUAUGUGGGUUUAGGACAAUACAGCUGUUAAGGAAGUGGUCUCUUGUUUUAAUGAAGCAAGGUGGCAACUUGGACCUGAGGAAAGAAAAGGAGAAAAAAGUAAUUAAAACAGUGAUUGAAAAUGAUUUAAAAAAAUUUUAAGCCCUCAUUUUCAAGAAAGAACAGUAUUGGCUAAUCUGGGUAAUACCAG